rnacentral:rRNA from 1 species
GACGAACGCUGGCGGCGUGCUUAACACAUGCAAGUCGAACGAAGAGCGAUGGAAGCUUGCUUCUAUCAAUCUUAGUGGCGAACGGGUGAGUAACGCGUAAUCAACCUGCCCUUCAGAGGGGGACAACAGUUGGAAACGACUGCUAAUACCGCAUACGAUCUAAUCUCGGCAUCGAGGAUAGAUGAAAGGUGGCCUCUACAUGUAAGCUAUCACUGAAGGAGGGGAUUGCGUCUGAUUAGCUAGUUGGAGGGGUAACGGCCCACCAAGGCGAUGAUCAGUAGCCGGUCUGAGAGGAUGAACGGCCACAUUGGGACUGAGACACGGCCCAGACUCCUACGGGAGGCAGCAGUGGGGAAUCUUCCGCAAUGGACGAAAGUCUGACGGAGCAACGCCGCGUGAGGGAUGACGGCCGUCGGGUUGUAAAGCUCUGUUAAUCGGGACGAAAGGCCUUCUUGCGAAUAGUGAGAAGGAUUGACGGUACCGGAAGAGAAAGCCACGGCUAACUACGUG